UACGAAGGGGGCUAGCGUUGCUCGGAAUUACUGGGCGUAAAGGGCGCGUAGGCGGGUCGUUAAGUUGGGGGUGAAAGCCCAGGGCUCAACCCUGGAAUUGCCUUUGAUACUGGCUAUCUUGAGUUCGGGAGAGGUGAGUGGAAUGCCGAGUGUAGAGGUGAAAUUCGUAGAUAUUCGGCGGAACACCAGUGGCGAAGGCGACUCACUGGCCCGAUACUGACGCUGAGGCGCGAAAGCGUGGGGAGCAAACAGG
rnacentral:rRNA from 1 species